AGCGUACACGGUGGAUGCCCUGGCAGUCAGAGGCGAUGAAGGACGUGCUAAUCUGCGAUAAGCGUCGGUAAGGUGAUAUGAACCGUUAUAACCGGCGAUUUCCGAAUGGGGAAACCCAGUGUGAUUCGUCACACUAUCAUUAACUGAAUCCAUAGGUUAAUGAGGCGAACCGGGGGAACUGAAACAUCUAAGUACCCCGAGGAAAAGAAAUCAACCGAGAUUCCCCCAGUAGCGGCGAGCGAACGGGGAGCAGCCCAGAGCCUGAAUCAGUGUGUGUGUUAGUGGAAGCGUCUGGAAAGGCGCGCGAUACAGGGUGACAGCCCCGUACACAAAAAUGCACAUGCUGUGAGCUCGAUGAGUAGGGCGGGACACGUGGUAUCCUGUCUGAAUAUGGGGGGACCAUCCUCCAAGGCUAAAUACUCCUGACUGACCGAUAGUGAACCAGUACCGUGAGGGAAAGGCGAAAAGAACCCCGGCGAGGGGAGUGAAAAAGAACCUGAAACCGUGUACGUACAAGCAGUGGGAGCACAGAGCAAUCUGUGUGACUGCGUACCUUUUGUAUAAUGGGUCAGCGACUUAUAUUCUGUAGCAAGGUUAACCGAAUAGGGGAGCCGAAGGGAAACCGAGUCUUAACUGGGCGUUAAGUUGCAGGGUAUAGACCCGAAACCCGGUGAUCUAGCCAUGGGCAGGUUGAAGGUUGGGUAACACUAACUGGAGGACCGAACCGACUAAUGUUGAAAAAUUAGCGGAUGACUUGUGGCUGGGGGUGAAAGGCCAAUCAAACCGGGAGAUAGCUGGUUCUCCCCGAAAGCUAUUUAGGUAGCGCCUCGUGAAUUCAUCUCCGGGGGUAGAGCACUGUUUCGGCAAGGGGGUCAUCCCGACUUACCAACCCGAUGCAAACUGCGAAUACCGGAGAAUGUUAUCACGGGAGACACACGGCGGGUGCUAACGUCCGUCGUGAAGAGGGAAACAACCCAGACCGCCAGCUAAGGUCCCAAAGUCAUGGUUAAGUGGGAAACGAUGUGGGAAGGCCCAGACAGCCAGGAUGUUGGCUUAGAAGCAGCCAUCAUUUAAAGAAAGCGUAAUAGCUCACUGGUCGAGUCGGCCUGCGCGGAAGAUGUAACGGGGCUAAACCAUGCACCGAAGCUGCGGCAGCGACGCUGAUGCGUUGUUGGGUAGGGGAGCGUUCUGUAAGCCUGCGAAGGUGUGCUGUGAGGCAUGCUGGAGGUAUCAGAAGUGCGAAUGCUGACAUAAGUAACGAUAAAGCGGGUGAAAAGCCCGCUCGCCGGAAGACCAAGGGUUCCUGUCCAACGUUAAUCGGGGCAGGGUGAGUCGACCCCUAAGGCGAGGCCGAAAGGCGUAGUCGAUGGGAAACAGGUUAAUAUUCCUGUACUUGGUGUUACUGCGAAGGGGGGACGGAGAAGGCUAUGUUGGCCGGGCGACGGUUGUCCCGGUUUAAGCGUGUAGGCUGGUUUUCCAGGCAAAUCCGGAAAAUCAAGGCUGAGGCGUGAUGACGAGGCACUACGGUGCUGAAGCAACAAAUGCCCUGCUUCCAGGAAAAGCCUCUAAGCAUCAGGUAACAUCAAAUCGUACCCCAAACCGACACAGGUGGUCAGGUAGAGAAUACCAAGGCGCUUGAGAGAACUCGGGUGAAGGAACUAGGCAAAAUGGUGCCGUAACUUCGGGAGAAGGCACGCUGAUAUGUAGGUGAAGUCCCUCGCGGAUGGAGCUGAAAUCAGUCGAAGAUACCAGCUGGCUGCAACUGUUUAUUAAAAACACAGCACUGUGCAAACACGAAAGUGGACGUAUACGGUGUGACGCCUGCCCGGUGCCGGAAGGUUAAUUGAUGGGGUUAGCGCAAGCGAAGCUCUUGAUCGAAGCCCCGGUAAACGGCGGCCGUAACUAUAACGGUCCUAAGGUAGCGAAAUUCCUUGUCGGGUAAGUUCCGACCUGCACGAAUGGCGUAAUGAUGGCCAGGCUGUCUCCACCCGAGACUCAGUGAAAUUGAACUCGCUGUGAAGAUGCAGUGUACCCGCGGCAAGACGGAAAGACCCCGUGAACCUUUACUAUAGCUUGACACUGAACAUUGAGCCUUGAUGUGUAGGAUAGGUGGGAGGCUUUGAAGUGUGGACGCCAGUCUGCAUGGAGCCGACCUUGAAAUACCACCCUUUAAUGUUUGAUGUUCUAACGUUGACCCGUAAUCCGGGUUGCGGACAGUGUCUGGUGGGUAGUUUGACUGGGGCGGUCUCCUCCUAAAGAGUAACGGAGGAGCACGAAGGUUGGCUAAUCCUGGUCGGACAUCAGGAGGUUAGUGCAAUGGCAUAAGCCAGCUUGACUGCGAGCGUGACGGCGCGAGCAGGUGCGAAAGCAGGUCAUAGUGAUCCGGUGGUUCUGAAUGGAAGGGCCAUCGCUCAACGGAUAAAAGGUACUCCGGGGAUAACAGGCUGAUACCGCCCAAGAGUUCAUAUCGACGGCGGUGUUUGGCACCUCGAUGUCGGCUCAUCACAUCCUGGGGCUGAAGUAGGUCCCAAGGGUAUGGCUGUUCGCCAUUUAAAGUGGUACGCGAGCUGGGUUUAGAACGUCGUGAGACAGUUCGGUCCCUAUCUGCCGUGGGCGCUGGAGAACUGAGGGGGGCUGCUCCUAGUACGAGAGGACCGGAGUGGACGCAUCACUGGUGUUCGGGUUGUCAUGCCAAUGGCACUGCCCGGUAGCUAAAUGCGGAAGAGAUAAGUGCUGAAAGCAUCUAAGCACGAAACUUGCCCCGAGAUGAGUUCUCCCUGACUCCUUGA
rnacentral:rRNA from 1 species